rnacentral:rRNA from 1 species
GACGAACGCUGGCGGCGUGCUUUACACAUGCAAGUCGAGCGAGGCCCCUCCUUCGGGAGGGUGUCCUAGCGGCGAACGGGUGAGUAACACGUGGGCAACCUGCCCCCGGCUCUGGGAUAACUCCAAGAAAUUGGGGCUAAUACCGGAUAUGACCGCUGACCGCAUGGUCUGGUGGUGGAAAGAUUUAUCGGCUGUGGGAUGGGCCCGCGGCCUAGCAGCUUGUUGGUGGGGUAGUGGCCUACCAAGGCGACGACGGGUAGCCGGCCUGUGAGGGUGCCCGGCCACACUGGGACUGCGACACGGCCCAGACUCCUACGGGAGGCAGCAGUGGGGAAUAUUGCGCAAGGGGCGGAAGCCUGACGCAGCGACGCCGCGUGGGGGAUGACGGCCUUCGGGUUGUAAACCUCUUUCAGCAGGGACGAAGCGAAAGUGACGGUACCUGCAGAAGAAGCACCGGCCAACUACGUGCCAGCAGCCGCGGUAA